rnacentral:rRNA from 1 species
GAUGAACGCUAGCUACAGGCUUAACACAUGCAAGUCGAGGGGCAGCACAGUGUAGCAAUACACGGGUGGCGACCGGCGCGCGGGUGCGUAACACGUAUCCAAUCUGCCCGUUACUCGGGGAUAGCCUUCUGAAAGGAAGAUUAAUACCCGAUGGCAUGUAUCUCCGGCAUCGGAGAUACAUUAAAGAUUUAUCGGUAACGGAUGAGGAUGCGUACGAUUAGCUAGUUGGCGGGGUAACGGCCCACCAAGGCGACGAUCGUUAGGGGUUCUGAGAGGAAGGUCCCCCACACUGGAACUGAGACACGGUCCAGACUCCUACGGGAGGCAGCAGUGAGGAAUAUUGGUCAAUGGUCGAGAGACUGAACCAGCCAAGUAGCGUGAAGGAUGACUGCCCUAUGGGUUGUAAACUUCUUUUGUUUGGGAAUAAAGUCAGGUACGUGUACCUGUUUGUAUGUACCAUUCGAAUAAGCAUCGGCUAAUUCCGUGCCAGCAGCCGCGGUAACAC